rnacentral:rRNA from 1 species
AUUGAACGCUGGCGGCAGGCCUAACACAUGCAAGUCGAGCGGAGCGGCGGACGGGUGGUUAAUGCCUAGGAGUCUGCCUGGUAGUUGGGGAUAACGUCCGGAACCGGGCGCUAAUACCGCAUACUCUCAGAUGAGCCUAGGUCGGAUUAGCUAGUUGGUGGGGUAAAGGCCUACCAAGGCGAAGAGCCGUAACUGGGCUGAGAGGAUGAUCAGUCACACUGGAACAUAGACACGGUCAAGACGCCUAGGGGAGUCAGCAGGGGGGAAUAGUGGACAAUGGGCGAAAGCCUGAUACAGCCACGCCGCGUGGGUGAAGAAGGGCUUCGGAUUGUAAAGCACUGUAAGUUGGGAGGCGUUACCAAAAGAAUAAGCACCGGCUAACUUCGUGCCAGCAGCCGCGGUAAUAC